GACAAACAAAAGGACAAGAGAUGUGACCCAAUUCUAAGUGGGAGCCUGUCUUUCCUACUCAAAGCCUGGGGAACUGCAACCAGAAAGCUGUCACACCAUGUCCAGGUUCUCAGCAUGUAGACGGCCCAGUGUCAAGAGCAAGGCAGGCCUGCACAGCCCCUGCAUGAGACUCACGGUCAAGGGAGUCAGAAGGCCCCAUCAUCGUGGUAAAUGAGAGUUUAAAAUUGAUAUCAUGCCUUCUUCCAAGAGAAUAUGGCCACUUAAACACCAGCAAAUUAUGGAGUAUUUUUUGAAGUAAGGGGAAAGGAGAUG